UGCUAAGGAGCAACAGCAGGAUCCCGGCUGGAAAUGAGCCUGGAAAGAGCAGAGUCCAGAUCACAGAGGCAUACUAAGGAAUGAAAAGCUGUUUGGCUUUUAUCCUAAAGACAACAGAUAGAUCAUUCUAGCUAUUCUUCAAAAGAAGAGUCAUGAAGAGAAGAUAUAAACGGUUCUAUUGAAAUUCAAGCAUCACCCGGGGAGAGAAGUACCACUAACGUGGGAUUUUAGAGCUGAAGGACAGAGCAACUACAUUCACUGGAUUCUGGAAAAGAGGUCUGGAUCAAUGCUCAUCCUACCUGAAGAAAAUCAAGACCAAAACCAAAUUGACCUUUGACAGUCCUCAUGGCAAUAUAGAUUUUCCCUAGCAGGUACUUCAAAGUCCUCCAUCCUCUACCCAUCAACCAACUCAAA